rnacentral:lncRNA from 12 species
UGCUGCCUUGCUGGGUGACUUGGAAGAAGCCAUUUCAUCUUCUUUCCCAACAUUUAGCAUGAGUGACUGACCUGGGUUGAUGUUUUGGCUGACUCCUCACCCUGCCCCCCUUGGCCACGAAGCUGUUUGCUCCCGGGGGAGGGGCCGCCUGGGCUCUGCUCUGCGGACUGGCCUUGGUUUGCCGCGGGCUUGGCUUAAGAGCUUCGCUUGGGGGGGGGAGGGGGCUCGCUUGGCUGCUCGCUUGGCUCUGGCUGCUGCUGCUUGUGGCUAUCGCUGCUGUGGUGGUGGCUCGUGGCCUGGUUUGUUAGUUAGCUGUUUUUUGCUUGAUUUUUUAUUUGGCUUUAUAUUGCUUGAAUUAUUUGGUUUAGCUCGCUGCUGUUUAAGGCUUGCUGGCUAUUCCAGCUGGUUUUUUUCCUUUCUCUCUCUCCCCCUCUCCCUUCUCCCCCUCACUUCCCGAGGAUCAGCACCAGCUCCAGAAAAACCCUGCGGCCUGCCUCUGGACACCGGCCAGAAAAGCGUUUCGCCCUUCUAGUGAAGAUCGAAGCGUCCAAGUUUCUCUCUCUCUCGGUGAAAACUUUUUUUUGUCAUCUGGGUCUGUGCUGGAAAGUGUUUCUCUUGUAUGUGUUAAUAAAUAGGAUUUUUCCACUUUUCCCCCUGAGUGAAAUUUUUUCUUAAGUCCAGUGGGAUAAAGAAUUGGGGGUUUAUUUCCUGGAAAGCUCUUCUGAAGGUUUUUUCCCCUAAGUUUGUCCAAACUUAGACAGUGACAUGUUCCCACUUGUG